AUUGAACGCUGGCGGCAGGCUUAACACAUGCAAGUCGAACGGUAACAUAAAGAAGCUUGCUUCUUUGAUGACGAGUGGCGGACGGGUGAGUAAUGCUUGGGAAUCUAGCUUAUGGAGGGGGAUAACUACGGGAAACUGUAGCUAAUACCGCGUAGAAUCGGGAGAUGAAAGUGUGGGACCUUCGGGCCACAUGCCAUAGGAUGAGCCCAAGUGGGAUUAGGUAGUUGGUGAGGUAAAGGCUCACCAAGCCGACGAUCUCUAGCUGGUCUGAGAGGAUGACCAGCCACACUGGGACUGAGACACGGCCCAGACUCCUACGGGAGGCAGCUGUGGGGAAUAUUGCGCAAUGGGGGCAACCCUGACGCAGCCAUGCCGCGUGAAUGAAGAAGGCCUUCGGGUUGUAAAUUUCUUUCCGUAGCGAGGAAGGCAUUUAGUUUUAUAAACUGGAUGAUUGAGGUUAACUACACAAGAAGCCCCGGCUUAACUCCGUGCCAGCAGCCUCGGGUA
rnacentral:rRNA from 1 species